rnacentral:lncRNA from 1 species
CGGUGAGCCAGUCCCUGACGUCAGGAGUUUUCCUCAAAGUCAACAACAAGCCCCGCGGCGGCGGCGGCGGCAGGAGCACGGGCUCCCAUUCCGAAGGGAAGGGAGGAGGAGCAGACGGUGGCGGCCGGUGUUCUCCGGGAGGAGGAGGGGAAGGAGGCGGCGGCGGCGGCGGCCGCGUCUCCUCCCGCGCCAGCCCCGCACCGCCCCAGCCCUCGGAGCGGAGUCCCGCAGCAGUGUCCGCCGUGGUUCGGAAGCGGCCUCGCGGAGGGCGGGGCCCAUGGGCUGGGGCGGCCCCCGCUGCCUCCUCCUCCUCUUUUUUCUCCUCCUCUUCUUCCUCCUCCUCCCCCUUCCCAUCCGUGACCCAGGCUUCCCUCCCACCCUUCACCCCCCGCGCGGGUGGUGUUUUCUAGUGAUGAAUUGAAUUUGUAGCCGAUAUCCGAUUCCCAUGUAGAGUCUCCGCCUCCCUCUCCUCCUCCUGCUCCUCCGCCGCCGCCGCCUCCUCCUCCACCUCCCCCGCCUCGCUCCCUCCUCCCGCUCCCGCCGCCGUCGCCUCCUCCUCCUCCUCCUGUUCCAGCUCCGCGGCCGGGCCGGGCUCCCUUCCUCCCUCCCUCCCUCCCCUCCAGCCCGCCCUCCCGCCGGCCACACCGGGCACUAGGGGGGCGUGAGGCAUUGCGGGGUGGGGGGCGGACAGGAGGGGAGGAGGAGGAGGGAGGGAGGGGGGACCCCCGAGUCACCCCCUCUCCUCCCCCCGCCCCCCGGCUCCAUCCUCUGCCGCCGCCGCCGGAGCAGCCGCGGUGCCGCCGCUGCCGCCGCCUUUGCAGGCUGAGUCAUCACUAGAGAGUGGGAAGGGCAGCAGCAGCAAAAGAGAAUCCAAACCCCAAAGCUGAUAUCUCAAAGUAUCUUUUCUUGAAGUUGAGGGCUCAGAGGGGAGCCAUCAUGAGCGAUGUUACCAUUGUGAAAGAAGGUUGGGUUCAGAAGAGGGGAAGGAAACUUUAGCAGCAGAGUAAUGUUCCAGUAGAUGGCAGCAACAAUUCAGGAGAGAAUCAUGGAGACGAUGUGAAUCUUGAGCUGAUGGUGGAUGCUGAGGCAGGAGCAAGAUAAGGCAACUGAGAUCUAGAGAUGUAAAAUGGAUAUCUCAAGGUCAUUGAAAUGAAGACACAUCUUCUGAUUCAAAGUUCAAUAUUCUUUCUAUUGCAUGACGUUGAAAAAAAUUUAAACAAAGUCAUCACGAUAAGAUUGUAGAUUUUGAGUCAAAAAGAAUAUAUAUUCAAGCUUCUUCAUUUUACAGAUAAAGAAGAGACCUCUUUGGUGGAGCCUACAGGAGGAGAGGAAGCACAAGAUUCAUAAGAUGGCGGGCGGAUCUUUCUAGAAGGCCCAUUACAAGUUAAAGAAUUUAAUCAGGACUCACGCCAUCAAGCAUUUUUUGGAAGAGAUAUCGACAUCACUGCUCAAAGAUGAAUGAUGACAACUGGCCAAUGAAUUGUGUUCCACAGACAUCAUCACAGAAUUGAAAGCUCUCAAUUUGCUACUGCAGGGAAAAGGAAAAAAAAAAUGGACUUGCCUAAGAAAUUAAUGACAGCUUGCUAAAAUUUAGUUUUGGAGGAAAAAAAGCACUUGAAAACUCUAAAUAUUUAUUGAGCAUUUACUAUGUGGAAAUACUUUCAUUUUAAAUAUAAUUUCAGGUUUAACUUCACCAUUACACUGUUGACAUAUCCCUUUUAAAAAAAUUCAAAAAUUGGUUGUCAUUUUUUAAACUAUGCAUUUUUCCAAGAUACUUAUGGAAUGGAAUGGUGAAGUCAUUGAGAAUUGUGUACUCUUCUUUUACCUGGACAUUGAAACUCUUUUACUGGAGAUGAUUGAAUUUUACGGUUAUCAUCGUAAUUUUAAAAUUCUAAGAGAAAUAUUAGACAGUGUUUUUUUUUUAUACAUGGACACUAAAUGUUGCUUCUGUGAAACUAUCAAUAUGUUUUCCAAUUACUAUUUUCUUACAUCACAUGAUACCAAAAAGUACACCAUGAAAAUUAAGUUUUUGUUCACAGUGAAUCUUUUGUAAGAAAUAGGAAUUUAAUUCUUCAGUAUUGUGUAGAUAGUUUCUGUUGUAUUCAUCAAUUACAUCUAGACUUUCAACCUGUCAUGAAACAUGCAAAUGAGUCUUUACUGAGAGUAAUAGGGCACAUCAAGCAAUAGCACACUGAACCUUAUCUUUUAUUUGUGAAAUUUUCCAAAGCUUUUAUUUAAAGUAUCUGAUGUUUUAUCUGUCUUUCUGAUUAAAACAAAUUCCUG